GUAUUAUUCAUCUAUGGAUAAUUUAUUUCUUAAUGCCUAGAUUAAUUCCUAAAAGUGAAUUAUAAUGUUUUUAGUGAUAAGUGUGCUCAUAUAGUGAAUGAAAUUCCAUUGACUCUGCAUUAUUUACAAAAGGUAACUAAACUUGUUAAAGGAGGCUCAAAGCUCUAUGACUUCAUAGCAAGAGUCGCCAAACUAAUGAUUUAAAAUGAGCAAGAGCUAUAAUAUAGUUGGUUAGGAAGAAAAUAAGUAAUUUGCUGAUAAAUAUUAAUACGUAAUAUACUUGUAUAAUCUUUGUA